rnacentral:lncRNA from 1 species
GGCCCCUCAGGAGGAAGGGGCGGGGAGAUCCCAGCUACUAGAGGACGCCCGUUCCAAUGGCAACUCUGCCAAGGCGCCUAUGAGAGCCUCUUGGCUUUUACCUGGUCUGCGAGAAAUCAAACUUUGGGCACAAGUCAUGAAGCCGACAAGCCCGGGAGACACAGUGUCAGAAUUACAAGGUGAGAUCAGCCGCCCGGCCAAGCUAUCUUCUCGCUAGCAGGUCUCGCAUCUGGGGCUCGAUCUCGUGCAGAGGAGCAUUUCCGAAGACACUGGCCGCUCCCACAAUGGCUCCGAAGAACCCAGCGACCAGCGGGUUCAUGAGUUUGUUGGGGCUGUCCACUCGGUACCAGCUGCGCAGGGAUGUCAGGACAAAGAAACAAGUUGCCUGGUUCCAGCCCUGCUUCAGCACGGGGCCUGUGGGGCCCCGGUAAGUCCCGGUGUUCCCGCACAAUCUCCUAACCCUGUGGAAGAAUCCCCUGUACUUGGAUUUGGAGAGGUCUGGCCAUGGAUUAACUUCACCUUGAUGGUCUCCAUGGGACAUAGGACCACCACGGCCUCGGCCACGCUAGCUCACUGGCCGCACCGCUGCCCGCCUUGCUGUUCACCAGUCCCUGGGCAUCCCGCAUCUGGUUGCUGAGGAACGCCUGACGCCGCCUUGUGGAUGAAGCCGCAGAGCAGGGAGCUGAGGCUGCGGCCCAGGCCCAGGCUGCCUUGGCUGCGACUGUGUGCCUGCAGGCCCCAUGCCCGGUAUCCGGUGGAUGCGAGUGCUAGUCCAGCUGCAGCUGCAUCUUCACGAACUCGGUGGGGAACGGGAUGCAGAUUUUUUUUUUCUUUUCCUUCCUUCCUUCCUUCCUUCCAACUUCCUUCCUUCCUUCCCCUUUCUUUCUUUCUUUUUUUUUUUUUUUUUUUUUUGACAGAAUUUUGCUCUUGUCCCCCAGGCUGGAGUGCAGUGGCGCGAUCUUGGCUCACUACAACCUGGAUUCAAGCGAUUCUCCUGCCUCAGCCUCCCGAGUAGCUGGGAUUACAGGCAUGUGCCACCAUUCCCGGCUAAUUUUUUUGUCUUUUUAGUAGAGACGGUGUUUCCCCAUGUUGGUCAGGCUGGUCUCAAACGCCUGACUCAGAUGAUCCGCCCGCCUCGGCCACCCAAAGUGCUGAGAUUACAGGCUUGAACCACCGCGCCUGGCCCUGUGAUGUAGAUUUUGAUGCUGCCAGCCAGGCUGCCUGCCGGGAUCGCCUGCCCUGGAGCAGGAGCAUCAGCCGUGCGUUCCAGGACGCAGGCAUGGCAUGACCGGCAGGAGGCGGAGUGCCCGGCGUCUCUUGGGAUCGGAGCCUCCUGAAUUCCACGCUGGGACCUUAAUUUGGUUUUAACACAAAUAAAGAUCUCACAUAAAGAUAAAA